rnacentral:rRNA from 1 species
UCGAGAAUCUUUCACAAUGGGGGCAACCCUGAUGGAGCGACGCCGCGUGCAGGAUGAAGGCCUUCGGGUUGUAAACUGCUUUUGUACGGAACGAAAAGGUUUGGCCUAAUAAGCUGAGCUCAUGACGGUACCGUAAGAAUAAGCACCGGCUAACUACGUGCCAGCAGCCGCGGUAAUACGUAGGGUGCGAGCGUUAAUCGGAAUUACUGGGCGUAAAGCGUGCGCAGGCGGUUAUGUAAGACAGAUGUGAAAUCCCCGGGCUCAACCUGGGAACUGCAUUAGUGACUGCAUAGCUGGAGUACGGCAGAGGGGGAUGGAAUUCCGCGUGUAGCAGUUAAAUGCGUAGAUAUGCGGAGGAACACCGAUGGCGAAGGCAAUCCCCUGGGCCUGCACUGACGCUCAUGCACGAAAGCGUGGGGAGCAAACA